CCACUACAUGUACCAUAACCAGAGACAGCAGGUUCGUUUUGUGCGUUUAAUUAAUACCUGCCGAGGUAAAGGUGAUAAGGUAACUUUUGUGUUAUCAAACAUUGCAUUUUUUGUAGUGUUAAAUUUACGUCCUUUAUCUUGGUAGGUAAGGGCGUUUUUAAUUUUAAAA
rfam:Anaerolineaceae bacterium 4572_78 ex4572_78_scaffold_13365, whole genome shotgun sequence.